rnacentral:misc_RNA from 1 species
UCCCCGUUACCGGGGCAGUCUGGCUAGAAAAAUUCAACUAACCAUAAGGGUUGCGCUCGUUGAUGGACUUAACCAAACAUCUCACGACACGAGCUGACGACGGCCAUGCAACACCUGUCACUAGAUUCCCGAAGGCACUCUCUCCUUUCGGAGAAAUUCCUAGGAUGUCAAACCUUGGUAAGGUUCUUCGUUUACCAUCGAAUUAAACAACACGCUCCACCGCUUGUGCGGGUCCCCGUCAAUUCCUUUGAGUUUUAAACUUGCGUUCGUACUCCCCAGGCGGCUUGCUUAACGCGUUAGCUUCGCUACUAGAAGGGUCGAUACUUCUAACAGCUAGCAAGCAUAGUUUAGGGCGUGGACUAC